rnacentral:tRNA from 1 species
CAAGAGGUAGUUUAAUUAAAAUAUAAAUUUUGGAGAUUUAUGAUAAAGGGUUAUCUUUUUUCUUGA